rnacentral:lncRNA from 1 species
UGCUAAGCAAGAGUAGUUAUCAGUUUGUGUGGUGAGAAAGGUCACCUCUUUAAGAUAAGAGACUCCAUCCACUCCAGUGCACACAUCAUCCGCCGCAGAGGAACCCGUGUGCUGGGUUCUGAGUCUCUUACCUCCAACAACUUCCUCUCAUCCAUAAAAAUGUCCUGGGUCAGUGAGAUGGCAUGGAGGGUGACCUGAAGGACAGCACCUCCCAGGAGUGUAGGGUGGGUCCCAAACUCCCAAGAUUCCCUGAAGAUGCCAGCAUUCAGAGACUUGAAGAAGAAGGUCUUGGAAAAAAUCCUGGUGGGGCCGCCUUCGCCAGUUGUACCAAAUGGCCACCGUGCCGUUAUUGACCACAGUCAGUUCUGAGGACGUUCUCUCCCCUUCAAGGGUUUCAAAUGUCAGGCGGACACCAAUUCCGAUGUUUUUCUGUGGGAGGAAGAGGGUCUAAGGAGUAUCUUGGCUAGAGGUCUUGCCCUGGAGUGACCAACUCACCCCCCCACCCCCACCCCCGUUUCCUAUGACUUCUCUGAAAGUCCACUGUUCACUCUGAUCCUCUGAGCUUAGUCACCUUGAGUGGUGUCAGACUCUCCUGAUAAUUGUCUCUGAGGUUAUCAUCAAUACUAAGAAGAGAAAUAUUUUUUUAACUUGGUGUUCCUUUCUACUCCUUAGUAUCUGAAGAAUGUUCUAGAACUGGUAUUGGAGCAAUGACUCAGAGGUUAAUUUUCAAGCCCAAAGACUGGAUGGAGAUCUGAUCUCCAGAAGCCAGUAGUGUGUGGCAGCCUGCACACGGGAGGUAGAGACAGCAUCCCUGGGGCAAGCUGGCUAGCUAGACUAACCCAAACAUUAGCUCUAGGUUCAGUAAGAGACCCUACUGAGGUGGAAAGUUGCAUGCUGAGAUGGUAGAACGGCUCUAGGUGAGAUUCACUUUAGCAUGGUUUAUCGAACUCCAUAUAUGAAGAUGAUUACUCCAAUACGCAAUCAACAUAAAAAGCAAAUUUUUCUUUUCUCCUGUUUCUUCAAACUGAGGAACAUGUUGCUAAAACAAAACAGAGCUGAGGAGAAUGCGAUCUGGGGAGAAGAGGAAGAACACACACACACACACCUCUGUUCUUGGGACUCCUUGGGAUCCGGAAGCCAAUGGAGAGGUGACCCGUGAACACGGCUGGGUGCUCUGUGCGAUCCUUGGCCCUUGGCCUUACCUUCCUCAAGUCUUCCUUUUUAAUGGCCAAGGCAAGAAUGUCAUCUCCUUGUAAGACAUUGCUGACAGGCUCAGGCUCUUCCUGAAUGGGGGGAGUGGGCUGUUCAGGUGCCUUCGCCCGCUUCUUUUCUGGAGAGAAGCAAAGAGAUAGGUCCCAAGAGCUCUCUCGGCAUAUCUUUACUACAGACACAAGAUAGACUACUAAACAGCUCCAAUGUGCUUCCUACUGAUGGGUAUAGAAUCACUGGAAGAAACAUAUAAAUACAAGCAUUCAACACUGCUGAAGAUUCCUGGGGCCAAAGCUCCCACCACGCUCAGGGAGCAACCCAGACCCUGAUUGAUUAGUUGAGACUACAGGAGCCCUGGAUAGCUCUGCCCUCAAGUUUGAACUACCUUGAGCACAUCACAAUAAAUGCUGUCACGCUUCACAGUCGGGGGAUGGCAAGGCCUCCUUCUAGCCCAGACUGCCUUGG